UUGCAGAAUUCCGCGAAUCAUCGAGUUUUUGAACGCAAGUUGCGCCCGAG
rnacentral:rRNA from 1 species